rnacentral:rRNA from 1 species
GAUUGAGCUUGCUUCAUUCGCCGGCGACCGGCGCACGGGUGAGUAACGCGUAUCCCCCCUUACGGUGACUCGGGGAUAGCCUUUCGAAAGAAAGAUUCCUUCCCGAUGGUAUCUUAAGCACGCAUGAGAUUAAGAUUAAAGAUUUAUCGGUAAGCGAUGGGGAUGCGUUCCAUUAGGCAGUUGGCGGGGUAACGGCCCACCAAACCUACGAUGGAUAGGGGUUCUGAGAGGAAGGUCCCCCACAUUGGAACUGAGACACGGUCCAAACUCCUACGGGAGGCAGCAGUGAGGAAUAUUGGUCAAUGGGCGAGAGCCUGAACCAGCCAAGUAGCGUGAAGGAUGACGGCCCUACGGGUUGUAAACUUCUUUUGUGCGGGAAUAAAGGAGCCUACGUGUAGGCUUUUGCAUGUACCGUAACGAAUAAGCAUCGGCUAACUCCGUGCCAGCAGCCGCGGUAAUACGGAGGAUGCGAGCGUUAUCCGGAUUUAUUGGGUUUAAAGGGAGCGUAGAUGGAUGUUUAAGUCAGUUGUGAAAGUUUGCGGCUCAACCGUAAAAUUGCAGUUGAUACUGGAUAUCUUGAGUGCAGUUGAGGCAGGCGGAAUUCGUGGUGUAGCGGUGAAAUGCUUAGAUAUCACGAAGAACUCCGAUUG